CGACAGUGACAAAACAAAAAAGAAAGUAAAAUAAAUGUUUAUUAGAAAAAUUUAAAUAUAUUCUUCAAAAUGAAGAUUUCUUCGAAAGAUACUGAAAAAAGUUAUGGAUAUGGAGUCCGCCACAUUCAGAUGUUAUGUAUGUGUCUCAACAUGAUAGCGUUAUUCAUUGCCCGCGGCAGCUUGGGGGUAGCUGUACUUGCCAUGACGGAUACGGGGAAACGGAAUAACCCUAACAUAACUGUAUAUGAAUGGGAUAAGAAGAUCCAGGGUUUAAUAUUAUCUUCAUUUUUCUGGGGCUAUACUGUGAUGCAGAUUCCAGCUGGUCUCCUGUCAAAGAGAUACGGUGGAAAACCUAUCUUACUAUUUUCCUUGUUAGCCAAUGCUAUCAUUUGCGCUCUACUGCCAACACUUGUACAUUAUGGCGGAUGGCAAAUAGUAUGCGCAUGUCGAGUACUGAUGGGUCUCACACAGGCUUGCCUUUUCCCUGCCAGUCACACGCUGCUUGGCAAAUGGCUGCCAGCACAAGAAAGGACUUCGUAUACUGGCAUAGUGUAUGGAGGUACACAAAUGGGCAUUAUAAUAGCUAUGCCAGUAUCAGGUGUUUUGGCAGAAACGAAAAUGGGUUGGAAGCUUAUUUUCUACACCGUGUCAUGCAUAAUGUUCGUGACUGCGGCAAUAUGGGCGUUCUUCUCAGCCAACAGUCCAAGAGAUCAUCGUCUGAUGACGAACGAGGAAAGAGAAUAUAUCGAGAGAGGGUUGAACGUUGCUAAUUCCAAGGUUCUUAGUACGCCAUGGAAGAAAAUAUUUACAACGAAGGCUUUAUGGGCUAUAAUGUUGAGCCACUUUGGCGGUGCCAUCGGUUUUGUGCUCUUCUUCGUCGAUAUGCCCACUUACUUGGAGAGGGGAUUACAGAUAUCGUUGAAAAAUAGUGCAUCUUUAUCAGCGUUACCGUAUAUGGGCAUGUUGUUUGGGAACCUCGUAUCAACAUCUAUCUGUGAAAAAUUAUAUAACAAAGGAUAUUUGUCACUAAUAAAUUGCAGAAAGCUUUUCAAUUCAAUUGGAUUCAUUGGUAUGGCAGUUGGUCUGCUGGUGCUGUCGUUUAUCGGCCCAGAUAACAAGAAUAUAGCGAUCGUCACUUUGGUUGUAGCUCUCACUUUGAGUGGAUUCUGGUCUGCGGGUUUCAUGAUGGCCCAUUUGGACCUAUCGCCCAACUAUGGUGGGGUUAUGCUCUCUAUAACGAACUUCGUGGCUAAUUUUGGGAGUAUCACUACGCCUAUCGUCACAAGUUUGAUUCUACGAAAUGAUCCAACAGACGUAAGUCGUUGGCGCAUUGUAUUCAUCGUGACAGCCAUGGUGACCAUUAUUUCCAAUACUGGCUUCGUAUUGUUUGGGAGUUCAGAGCGGCAGGAGUGGGAUGACCCUGACUAUCUGGACAAGAGGAAAGCUGAUAUAGAAUGGUGCUAAAUGGUUUGACAACACAAUGGACGUGGAGUUUUUAAGACACAAAUACGGAGACAGUCAUGACGGAGUUAUUACAAGAGCGAAAUUCAAGAUCGGAGUUCGGCAUCUGCAAAUGAUUUACAUGAUCAUAUGUUCUCUAUCAAUGGGUUUGAUCAGAGGUAGCAAUGGAAUUGCAAUCCUUGCGAUCACAGACUACACACGAAGCAACAA